rnacentral:rRNA from 1 species
GACGAACGCUGGCGGCGUGCCUAAUACAUGCAAGUCGAGCGGACCGACGGGAGCUUGCUCCCUUAGGUCAGCGGCGGACGGGUGAGUAACACGUGGGUAACCUGCCUGUAAGACUGGGAUAACUCCGGGAAACCGGGGCUAAUACCGGAUGCUUGAUUGAACCGCAUGGUUCAAUCAUAAAAGGUGGCUUUUAGCUACCACUUACAGAUGGACCCGCGGCGCAUUAGCUAGUUGGUGAGGUAACGGCUCACCAAGGCGACGAUGCGUAGCCGACCUGAGAGGGUGAUCGGCCACACUGGGACUGAGACACGGCCCAGACUCCUACGGGAGGCAGCAGUAGGGAAUCUUCCGCAAUGGACGAAAGUCUGACGGAGCAACGCCGCGUGAGUGAUGAAGGUUUUCGGAUCGUAAAACUCUGUUGUUAGGGAAGAACAAGUACCGUUCGAAUAGGGCGGUACCUUGACGGUACCUAACCAGAAAGCCACGGCUAACUACGUGCCAGCAGCCGCGGUAAUACGUAGGUGGCAAGCGUUGUCCGGAAUUAUUGGGCGUAAAGCGCGCGCAGGCGGUUUCUUAAGUCUGAUGUGAAAGCCCCCGGCUCAACCGUGGAGGGUCAUUGGAAACUGGGAGGCUUGAGUGCAGAAGAGAAGAGCGGAAUUCCACGUGUAGCGGUGAAAUGCGUAGAGAUGUGGAGGAACACCAGUGGCGAAGGCGGCUCUUUGGUCUGUAACUGACGCUGAGGCGCGAAAGCGUGGGGAGCGAACAGGAUUAGAUACCCUG